UAGGGAAUAUUGCAAUAUGGGCGAAAGCCCGAUGCAGCAACGCCGCGUGGGCGAUGAAGGCCUUCGGGUCGUAAAGCCCUUUUUGAGGGGACGAGGAAGGACAGUACCCUCAGAAUAAGCCUCGGCUAACUACGUGCCAGCAGCCGCGGUAAAACGUAGGAGGCGAGCGUUAUCCGGAUUUACUGGGCGUAGAGCGCGUGCGGGCGGAUUGGAGAGUUGGAUGUGAAAGCUCCCGGCUUAACUGGGAGAGGUCGUUCAAUACUUCCAGUCUUGAGUGCAGUAGAGGGAAGUGGAAUUCCGGGUGUAGUGGUGAAAUGCGUAGAUAUCCGGAGGAACACCAGUGGCGAAAGCGGCUUCCUGGACUGUAACUGACGCUCAGACGCGAAAGCUAGGGUAGCAAACG
rnacentral:rRNA from 1 species